CCUACGUGUGGCAGCAGUGGGGAAUAUUGCACAAUGGGGGAAACCCUGAUGCAGCGACGCCGCGUGAGCGAUGAAGUAUUUCGGUAUGUAAAGCUCUAUCAGCAGGGAAGAAAAUGACGGUACCUGACUAAGAAGCCCCGGCUAACUACGUGCCAGCAGCCGCGGUACUACGUAGGGGGCAAGCGUUAUACGGAUUUACUGGGUGUAAAGGGAGCGUAGACGGUUGGGCAAGCCUGAUGUGAAAGCCGGGGGCUCAACCCCGGGACUGCAUUUGAAACUGGGUGACUGGAGUGUCGGAGAGGCAGGCGGAAUUCCUGGUGUAGCGGUGAAAUGCGUAGAUAUUGGGAGGAACACCAGUGGCGAAGGCGGCCUUCUGGACGGUAACUGACGUUGAGGCUCGAAAGCGUGGGGAGCAAACAGGAUUAGAUACCCGUGUAGUC
rnacentral:rRNA from 1 species